CAGUCGCCGCGGGAAUACGAAGGGUGCAAGCGUUAAUCGGAAUUACUGGGCGUAAAGCGUGCGUAGGCGGUGAAUUAAGUCUGCUGUGAAAUCCCCGGGCUCAACCUGGGAAUGGCAGUGGAUACUGGCUCGCUAGAGUGUGUCAGAGGAUGGUGGAAUUCCCGGUGUAGCGGUGAAAUGCGUAGAGAUCGGGAGGAACAUCAGUGGCGAAGGCGGCCAUCUGGGACAACACUGACGCUGAGGCACGAAAGCGUGGGGAGCAAACAGGAUUAGAUACCCCUGUAGUCCCUGUCUCUUAUAC
rnacentral:rRNA from 1 species